GACGAACGCUGGCGGCGUGCUUAACACAUGCGAGUCGAACGGAAAGGCCCUGCUUUUGUGGGGUGCUCGAGUGGCGAACGGGUGAGUAACACGUGAGUAACCUGCCCUUGACUUUGGGAUAACUUCAGGAAACUGGGGCUAAUACCGGAUAGGAGCUCCUGCUGCAUGGUGGGGGUUGGAAAGUUUCGGCGGUUGGGGAUGGACUCGCGGCUUAUCAGCUUGUUGGUGGGGUAGUGGCUUACCAAGGCUUUGACGGGUAGCCGGCCUGAGAGGGUGACCGGCCACAUUGGGACUGAGGUACGGCCCCGACUCCUACGCGAGGCAGCAGUGGGGAAUCUUGCACACUGGGCGGAAGCCUGAUGCAGCAACGCCGCGUGCGGGAUGACGGCCUUCGGGUUGUAAACCGCUUUCGCCUGUGACGAAGCGUGAGUGACGGUAAUGGGUAAAGAAGCACCGGCUAACUACGUG
rnacentral:rRNA from 1 species